rnacentral:lncRNA from 1 species
CUCGUUUUGAGGGAUAGAGCGUCUUCCCAAAAGUAUGAUGUCGCGUAUGCAGUCGACCAACUUUUUAUCGGAUUUGGGAUGUUUGUUGGUGGCUAUUUAAGUGGCAUGAUUGCGGAUCACUUCUCAUCCUACAACGCAACGUUUAAACUAUUAGCUUUCAUCGACGUCAUCGUUCUCCUCCUCAUGGUGGUCGUGAGAUGCAGACCAAAAGCAAACCCCGUC